AGGAUUAACGCUGGCGGCGUGCAUGAAACAUGCAAGUCGAGCGCGGUGUGAUGAGGGGUAACCCGAUUCACAUCUAGCGGCGAACGGGUGAGUAACACGUGAGCAACCUACCUUUGAGUUGGGGAUAGCCCUGGGAAACCAGGAUUAAUACCCGAUGUGGUCACAACAGGACAUCCUGAUGUGAGUAAAGGCGUAAGCCGCUCAAUGACGGGCUCGCGGCCUAUUAGCUUGUUGGUGGGGUAACGGCCUACCAAGGCGAUGAUGGGUA
rnacentral:rRNA from 1 species